rfam:Hordeum vulgare subsp. vulgare, WGS project CAJW01000000 data, contig: morex_contig_135129
AAAGUACUCCCUCCGUCCAAAAAUUCUUGUCUUAAAUUUGUCUACAAAUGGAUGUAUCUAAAUGCUAAAAUAUGACUAGAUACAUUCAUAUCUAGACAAAUUUAAAACAACAAUUUUGGAACUGAGGGAGUAUGUA